AACGAACGCUGGCGGCAUGCCUAACACAUGGAAGUCGAACGAGACCUUCGGGUCUAGUGGCGCACGGGUGCGUAACGCGUGGGAACCUGCCCUUAGGUUCGGAAUAACUCCCCGAAAGGGGUGCUAAUACCGGAUAAUGUCUUCGGACCAAAGAUUUAUCGCCUUUGGAUGGGCCCGCGUUGGAUUAGCUAGUUGGUAGGGUAAAAGCCUACCAAGGCGACGAUCCAUAGCUGGUCUGAGAGGAUGAUCAGCCACACUGGGACUGAGACACGGCCCAGACUCCUACGGGAGGCAGCAGUGGGGAAUAUUGGAAAAUGGGCGAAAGCCUGAUCCAGCAAUGACGCGUGAGUGAUGAAGGCCUUAGGGUUGUAAAGCUCUUUUACCCGGGAUGAUAAUGACAGUACCGGGAGAAUAAGCUCCGGCUAACUCCGUG
rnacentral:rRNA from 1 species